rnacentral:rRNA from 1 species
CAGUCGCCGCGGUAAUACGAAGGGGGCUAGCGUUGUUCGGAAUUACUGGGCGUAAAGCGCACGUAGGCGGAUAUUUAAGUCAGGAGUGAAAUCCCAGAGCUCAACUCUGGAACUGCCUUUGAUACUGGGUAUCUUGAGUAUGGAAGAGGUGAGUGGAAUUCCGAGUGUAGAGGUGAAAUUCGUAGAUAUUCGGAGGAACACCAGUGGCGAAGGCGACUCUCUGGUCUGUAACUGACGCUGAGGAGCGAAAGCGUGGGGAGCGAACAGGAUUAGAUACCCCUGUAGUCCCUGUCUCUUAUAC